rnacentral:tRNA from 1 species
GUUGUGGCUCAGUGGUAGAGCACUUGUCUGGCAUAUGUGAGGCACUGGGUUCAAUACUCAGCACA